CCCUUAGAUGUUCAGGGCCGCACGCGCGCUACACUGACGAAUGCAACGAGCUUAUAACCUUGGCCGAAAGGUCUGGGUAAUCUCCAAAUUUCGUCGUGAUGGGGAUAGAUUAUUGCAAUUAUUAAUCUUCAACGAGGAAUGCCUAGUAAGCGCAAGUCAUCAGCUUGCGUUGAUUACGUCCCUGCCCUUUGUACACACCGCCCGUCGCUCCUACCGAUUGAAUGGUCCGGUGAAGCGUUCGGACCGUGGCCUUUGGACGGUUCGCCGUCUGUUGGCUGCGGGAAGUUCGUUAAACCUUAUCAUUUAGAGGAAGGAGAANUCGUANCA
rnacentral:rRNA from 1 species